rnacentral:lncRNA from 1 species
CUAAAGCUCCCUAAACAGGCGGUACAUACCUUCUCUCUCUACACCUUCUCUCUCGUUCUCUCUAAACAAGCGAUUCCCCAAAUUAAAUCACUGUAAUAUAAGAGGUUUAAAGAGAUUACAAUGAUGUAAGAUGGUCAUAUCCGUUAACGAUUCUCCCAAAUCCUUUAGCUUUUAUGUAAGGAGAUCAGAUUUCAACUUGUUUAAGGUAAUGUGUUUGAAUUCGUCUAUAAAUAGCCCUUUUCUGAUAAAUACUCGCUUCAAUACGUCUCCGAUUUCAAGCCGUUCAUGUAAUUCCUUCCAAAAUGCUGUUGAUUUCACUGGUUUAAGGCGUGCAUGCGUGUGUAUGGGAUGGAUAUCAGUUUAAACCAAUGAUUUUAGCCGUGAAUUACACUGAUUCAGGUUUCGAUUUUGCUGUUUUAGCCAUUGAUUUCAUUGAUUUUAGGCGUGCAUGUGUGUGUAUUGGACGAAGAUCAGUUUAAAUCACUGAUUUUAGUUGUCGAUUCACUUCUUAAGCCCAUCAAUUUCACGUUUGGCAAUCAAUUUUAUUGAUUCGGCCGCCGAUUUCACUGUUUUAGCUGUCAAUUUCUGCUAAUAGUUUUAUUUUUUUUUCCGUUUAUUUUUGUGUCAAGUUUUGUUACUUUUCUGUUCAAUUAAGUUUGUGUUUGUUUAAAUUUUGACAUCUUUAGUUUUUGUUUUGCUAAUAUUAACCUAAAUAUCAUUUAUGGCCUUGAUAGGUAGCCAAGGAAUCUAAAACAGCUGGUAAAACUAUUGGGAUCGAUGUCGACAAUUAUUUUUGAUAGGUAUAGCCCUUGUCAGUUAACUUUAUCCUUUCUUUUGAGCAGCUUUCUUUUUUUAAAGGUAAAUUGAUUCUCUCAUAAUGUUGAGUUACCUACUAUCAGUGUAAAUUUGUCACUAGAUGGAUAGUUUGUCACUAGAUGGACCUAGUGCUGCUUCUCUUUCAGUUACCACUAACACUUAUGCAGUUACGUAGAGAGAAAGAAAUAGGACAAAUACUCUGUGACUAAUCUUUGUGGUGAAACAAGUACUGAAAUGAUUCAGCAGCUAUAGAGUCUCGUAGUGUAAUCAGAUUGUUCCCAAAAAUAAAAAAAGGAUAGUAUUUAUAGACAGUGCAUAUAUAGUGUUUAUCUGUAUGUAUUACAACUCCUUAAUAUGUCCAUAGAGUCUUGAGGAUGCCAGGAAAAAUGUGGAGAAGAACUAGUUUAUAGUCUGAUUCAACUUUGCUUCUCAGUCUCAGAACACAUAUUUUCCUAUACUAAAGUUCUUCUUGUGUAUAUCUAUGAGAUAGUUGAUCACUCUGUAUACGAGCGAUGGUUUGAAUCUUAGAAUCCCUACUUAGUGAUUAAUGUUGAUGACUCUGAACUUAAGCUAUAAGUCUAUGUGUAAAUGCCCAUCAUAUUGAGUUCGGCCUUGAAAUUUCAUGCCAUAAAGCUUUUCUUCCAUUUGUUUCCUCUUUAUAGUUGGCCAAUUAUGCAUUAGAGGACCUGUUUGUAUUCUGGUACAUAUGCUCUUUGCAUUUAAAUCAUAACUGCAAUAAGUUAUGCAACAACAACGACCCGGUAUAAUCCCACAAGUGAGGUCUGAGGAGGGUAAUAAGUUAUGCUCAUAAGCAUUUAUCUACUUUACCUGCUUUUUCGAAUGCUAGGACUCAAUUGGCGUGUCUACUGAUCAUUUCUAAGUUCAGUUCUUUUGUGUAAUUAAGAUAGAUCAUUUUAUUUCCAUCAUCAUGAAUAGAAUCUUUGCUGUAGACUCCCUUCUCUAUCUCCUAUGUUUAAGUUCUUAAAAAGACAUGACUAUGGGAUUGUAUCCCUACCUCAUGUUUGAUUAAUUUUGAAUAAAUAUAUGUCUUCCUAUUACAUUUGCUCUUUGUGUUUAAGCCAAGUUAGCAUUAGCAACCAUGUAUUAGGACUUUUUCUUUCUUCUCUGCUAAAGUUUUGUGAACAUUAGUCAGAUUCUAUGUGCAAUUUCCUUACUUUUUGGCAUGUAUUUUCCAUGAGUUGAGAAAACGUAUCAAAUAAUGCAUGUUGAUGGUAUAAACAAAUUCAGUUUUUCCUCUAUUACAAUAACGAAGACUUCACUAGACAAGUGACUUUGACGAUAUGGAUAAUUCAUGUAUGUUGUAGUUUUUGUUUUUCCCUGAAUAAGUUGCACAUGUUCUUUUCUUUGUUUAUUUCUCGCUUUAGUUUCCGUUUAUUCUUCAGAAGUUAAAAAGUGAGAUUAAGUGAUUACUAUUCUUUUGAUUUCCAUAUAGUGGCUAUGAACUAGCUUUUUCAUUUUGAUAUUGUGAUGUUAGAUGUUAUCUUAUAUCUUUUUUUCUAGCCAUGCCAAUUGUUGAUACCCGAUUUUUUCCUAUAUAUUUUUAAUAUGCAAAAUAACUUCAAAAUAGCAUAUAUAUGCAUAUGUAAGCAUGUCCAAGUGUUUUAUUAUUUUUUCAUAAUUUUUAAAGGUUUAAAUUGAUUUAUUUUCUCCAUUUUAUACAUAAAAUCUCAAUAAUUAUUUUCAAAAUUAUUAUUUUGAUAAUUCAUCUAUUAGAUUUUUAUAUUUACGCCAAAUAUGGCUAAGGUAAUUUUUACAAUUUUAUUUAGUAUUUUAAAGCUAAAUUGCAUAUAAUUCCAAUAUUAGCUCUUUUUAAGGUUUAAUUAGGUUUUAUAUUCAUAAAAUUAGAUCCUGUAUUUUUAAAUUGUUAUUAAUAUAUUAUAAAUCAAUUUAGCCUCUUAAAUUAGUUUUCAGAAAUUAUUUAUUAUUUUUAUAAAAUUAAAAGGGAAAAAUGGCUAUUUAACUUAUAACCAAAAUUGGCUUUAAAAUCUAGCCCAAAUCGAGUCCCCAAUUCCCUAGCCCAAUUUCGAUUUAAACCCGACCCUAACCUUUUAAACCCAACCCAAACCCGGAUCCCUACCUACCCCAUUUAAUCUAGGCCGUUGAUCAUUCAGAUCAACGACCACAAUUUUACCUGCCUAAAAUAAACCCAAACGACCCCCUUGACCAACUUCAUUUCCACCAAUCCGCCACCCUUGAAUCCCCUUCCUCUCCAAUUCUCUCUGCAACCUCACCCAAACCCUAGCCGCCGCCACCCAAACCAACCCUAAUCCCCUUCGAUUCUCGCCUAAUCCAUGGAUUCCCAUGGCCUUUUGAGACGUGUGCCGGUCUCCUAUGUCUCCUGAUUGCUUGUUUUCAUGAUUUCAUGGAUAGAUCUCAAAGAGAUCUAGUCCAGUCUUGGCUAAACUUCUAUCUAUGGUCUUUCCCCGAUCAUCCAUGGCCGUUCGAGUCAGAUCCAUGACUUUUCGAGCUAGAUCAGUAACUUUUUCAAGUCUUUCUCAUUUUUCUGGGUUCUCCGAAAUCCUAGCUUUAAAGACUUUCUGAUUUUCUUUCAGAUCUGUCGUAGAUCUGUGUAUGUUAUGAACCUCUUAAGUGUUUUCCAUGAAAGUUUUCCGAUUUUUCAAAGCGACUCUUCGUCUUCAACGAUUAGGGUUUUCUUAACCUCUUUUAAAUGAUCUCUUCUCCGAUUUUCAGUGUUGUUUUUACUAUGUUCAAAUGAUUUGUUUAUGAUUUUCUUCUACCUGAUUCAGCAUGUUGAAAACACAAAAUAUCUUUGGUUUUAUCUAGGGUUCUAAAAUCGUCUUUUAUUUUGUAUACUUGUUUCGACUGAGUUCUUUGUGUUUAAAUCUUUUUCUUUAUUUGACUUGACUGAUUCUGAGUUCUUACCUUUUUUAACUCAGCUCUAUUAAAACCCUAAUUUCUUAAAACUUUCCUCACUUGUUAUAGUGAAUUUUUGGAGAUUUCUUUUACUUAUUUCGGCGUGUUGGUCUGAUGUCCUCUACCUGUUGCUAUGUGUUAGACUGUUUCCUUCAUUUUUUUGGUUCUAUGUGACUACUUGACUUUGUUGACUACCAUGUUUCGAGUAGGUUCUCUUACUACUGAAUCCUUAGCCUACUCGUGUUACUGCUGUAUGUUUAUCUAGUUGCUUCUUUUGCCAAUAUAUUUGGCCUUCCAUGUCUGAUACUCCUAUUCAUUCUUUUCUAUUUAUAUGUCGAAGUGCAGAAUCAUGACUCGUUCUUGAUUGAUCUUGAUUUCCUUAAGUUACGGUUUGAUUGCACGGUUUUCUUAUAAACCCCUAGUUUUACUCGUUUUGCUUAAAUUGGUUGAUUCCCUUCCUUUGCUGUGAUGUUUUACCCCUACUGAAUCCUUUCCCAAAAUUAAGUAUAUUUUGUAUUUAGACUCAAUUAUUUACUCUAUACCUUUACUACUUCCUUACAUGGUAAGAAUAAAUCUUUCUCAAAACUGAUUUCUUUCCUUAAUUAUCCUUGUUGGUAUCCAUUAAGCAGUAAUUCCUUGAUUAAAGGGAAGUACUUGUAUUAAUGGGAUUCUGAUUGUAAUUAUUUCUAUAUUUGUGUUAAACUUUUACUUGUUACCUUAUUUUCUACUCGUUUUCAAAGUUAUAAAUACCCUACUCUCUCUUCUCUAAACACACGAACAAUUUAGUUCAGAACAUACACUUACACACUCAAACUCUCUUUUUUCUCUGCUAUUUGUGCUACUGCUUGUCUAGCCAGCGGAAAGCUAAGGCUAGACUGUGGAAUUCUACUCGCUUUACUUUUCUGCACUUUGCUUCUUUGACUGGUAUGUCCUAGUUUAAUUUUAAAGCUCCAACAACAACAUGCUUCAUUGUUUGUUUCAGCUUCUUUUAUUUUUGGUUUACUUCUGCUUGUGGUUCUUUUGAGCAUGCUGUAAUGUUUCCCCUUCACCUUUAAAUUAAUGCACUCCCCUGUGUGUGUUUUAAGGCAUACUUUAUCAAUCAUUUAUUGUGUACUUGCUAUCUUAAUCCCAAACCCCUAUCCCUUCCAUGUGUUUAUGUUCUUUUGGCCAGUUUGUGAUUAUGCCAGUAUCAGCUAUUGCUGUGCAUGUCUAGACCAAACCCCUGCUGGGGUUAUGUGCUUAUUGAAAAAUGUCUAUGUAUCCCCAAAUCCCUUGACCCCCCUGUGUGGCUACUGAUUCUAUGUGUAAUCCCCUCUUGAGGUGUUUGGGUUUUGUUUACUAUUACCACUACUUUCAAUCAUCUCUGUUACUGAUUGCUUUCAAAAAAAUGGAGUUGACAAUCCAGUUUUACACAAACUCUUUUUCAAACUAUGUCAAGAACUCUUACAUAUACUUUUAGAAUACUAGGUUCUGUCCCUUUUGUGUGAGCCUUGCCUUGGGACCCUUAAGUUCCCUCUAAACUUGGACACAUGGAAGCUGGCCUUUCCACACUGCACUUACUCUCUUGGUUAUGCAAUAUGGGUGUGAGCACUGCCCGGAAUCCCUUGAGGUCCUUAGAGAACUCUGACACACCCAGAUAUGAGAAGGCUUUGGAACAAUGUUGGCAUUUGAGGUGGUUUAUUAAAUAACUCAGAGAGGAAGUCAGAAUCAGGUUUCAUAUGGUUGUAAUUACGUAUUUUACAUUUUUACUAUGUAAGUCAAUCAAAUGGUCCGUAAUAAUUUGUAAACAAGUAUGGGGUUGGCUAGUGAAAAGGGAUGAGAAAUAUGCAUGCUAUAGUUGUUAAAGGGUAGAAAGCAUGUUAUUAGGUUUAUAGUCUUAAUUGUGAAAUAGAAACCGUGUUUAGGAUUCAUUUCAUGCAUUAGAGAUCAUGUUCUCUAGGACUUACAUUUACUGUUUUCAGCAUGUCCAUUUCACUAUCAUAUCACUUAUAAAAUCCUGCGUUAAUUAUAUUAAUAACCGGAGUUUCUGCGA